CUAUAUUUCCUAAACUCUUUUCUUCUCAUUCUAAAUAUUACUCUCCUUCUCCAACAGUUUGAAUAUCGGAUUUGAGUUUGGAAUCAAAAACUUUUCCAGUCACUGCUCGUGAAUCCGAGGUUCGUCCAUAGUUCCGUUCGCGAGUCCAUUUGAAUUUAAUUACUAUUUCAGGUUCAUCCUUUUCCCACUCUUAUUACUUUCUGAGAUUUUUUUAAGCUUGGUAUUUGGCCGGUUAGUCUUAGUUUAAUUUCUGAUUGGUUUCUUUAGAAACCAUGAAAUGAUUUUUUUCAAUUUGUAUAGUUGUAAUUGUGAGAUGUCAUUUGAUUCGUUUAAGGAAUUUUGUACGCCAAAAGCUUCAAAGCCAUGCCAAAGUUUCUCUUAUCGUUACUGUUUGUAUUUAAUAUACUCACCAUGAGAACUCAAGUUUAACGGUCUGUCUACACGGGAGUUUCAACAUUCAAGGUCUUGAAUUGUUUUCUUUAAUAAGUCAAUUCUCAUAAUCAUUUACGUUAGAAUAUACUAUAAGCCAUGCGUAAUGUAAUACUAUUCUUUAUGAACAAUUAUUAAAUUACUUAUUUAAAUUCAAUAAAGUUUUAUUUUAAAUAGAUCAUGUGUUGGUUUGUGCGUCCAUUGCUUACAUAGUACAUGAUUUAGUAUAUAGAGCUUAGCUUAUACACGGAAGACUGAAUCAUCGGUUCUUGUAAGACAUAGAAGCUAAUGUUCACAAUGUAACGAUGGAAUUGGACAAAUCAACGGAAUGAUUGCAGCACAAGAUUAAAUAUAAUUUAUCUUGAUUAUGAGAAUGGUUUAACUCCAACUUCUUGUGCUAAUAUAUUUUGUAUGUAUCUGCCGCCUGUCAUCAUGCUCAAUCAGUAAUAAGUUGGCUUCACCUCCGGGGAUCAGUCCAGCCUUGUGAAGGGAGAGGACUCUGUGGGCGGAAGCUACUCUGUUAUCUUGCUUUCCUCAUUCGCAUGAGAGACAGACACAUUGUGCACUCAAGAUGAUGAAUGCCAGAUCAAGUAGAGAUGAAUAUUUUAUACUGACUUUAUAAAAUAAUUUAUCUAGUCCAUUUAAUGUAUUUAUACUCUUAGUCCUGAUAUAAUUAUUAUUAGUUGUGUAUGUCACUUGUUGUAUUGAUUUAGUAAAAGGAGAGAUUCUUUCGCGAGUCAAUAAGCCUGGUAAAUUGGAUAACAUUGAUAUACAUUGACGAAGUAAUAAUUAGUUGAUGGAAUCUAUGUCUUGAUUUUGAGAUUGAUGAUACUCCUUUAUGAAAGCUUAUAAGUUUUUUUAUGUGUAAACCGGCCGGUGGAUUUUGUAUCCGACACAUGAAAUAAGUUAAGUGUCAGUCUAAAGGAAGUAAUCGAUAAAUUAAAUAUUCAGUAAUUUAAUUUGAUUGAUUAGUAUAUGAAUCUUUACAUGUGGAUUUAAAUAAGAUUUUAUGGAAGAAUUUCGAAAUUGAGCUAAGGAGUGCAAUUACGAAUUUUUAGUGGAAUAACUCGUAAUUUUUUAUGAUGGAAAUUAAUUUCAGAAUUUUGAAAUUAAUAUCAUUAUAGGAAGCCUUGUUAAUUAAAUUAUGUGGUACCUACUGUGCCUAAAUAAUAGGAAAUAGUGAAAAUUGUUACUGAGUGGGAAAGAAAAUGUGGAAACCGGCCCUUAGUGGGAGAAAGAAACCUAAGAGGCUUUGAAAUCGGUUUUGACCUAAAAAACGCAGCUAUACAUAUACAUAUAGGGGCUGGACGUUUUUCACACAAUUAUGACUGCGGUUUCUACUAGAAUUUUUUCCACCCAAAAUUCUCUAUUUUUGGUUAUUAUUUGGGUAACACAGUAGAAAACUGUGGAAAGAUGCUGGUGCUUUUUCAACCGAGGAACUGGAGAACGACAUAGAUUUAUUGUGUUUACGCUUCAAG
rnacentral:lncRNA from 1 species